AUUGAACGCUGGCGGCAGGCCUAACACAUGCAAGUCGAGCGUGCGGCGGACGGGUGAGUAAUGUCUGGGAAACUGCCUGAUGGAGGGGGAUAACUACUGGAAACGGUAGCUAAUACCGCAUACCAUCAGAUGUGCCCAGGUGGGAUUAGCUAGGGGGUGGGGAAAUGGCUCACCUAGGCGACGAUCCCUAGCUGGUCUGAGAGGAUGACCAGCCACACUGGGACUGAGACACGGUCCAGACUCCUACGGGAGGCAGCAGUGGGGAAUAUUGCACAAUGGGCGCAAGCCUGAUGCAGCCAUGCCGCGUGUGUGAAGAAGGCCUUCGGAUUGUAAAGCACUUUCAUCGAGGAGGCGUUACUCGCAGAAGAAGCACCGGCUAACUCCGUGCCAGCAGCCGCGGUAAUAC
rnacentral:rRNA from 1 species